rnacentral:ncRNA from 1 species
CUAUGGCUUGUAAUAGUCAUGGCUGAAGGAG